GUUUUCCGCGGGGAGGUGGGGCGCGAGACCGGAGGAGAGGAGAGGAAAGGAAGAAACCUCGAAAGCAAGGCCGGCGCGGAGGCGGGCUCGGAGGGGCCGGGAGCGCAGAGCCGCUGGCAAAGGUAGGGGAGGGAACACGUAGUUUAGAGCUAAGCAAAGCUUAGCGCUAACUAACUAAAACAAGCGGCAGCGGAGACGUCGAGACGAAAGACACGAGCGUCCCCCAAGCUAGCCGGGCAGAGCAGGCGGAGGCGCGCGCGCUGAAGCCCCCUCGCUAGUUAGCCCCUAAGUUAGCUCAACAGGACGCAGACUAAAACCGGCUUCGCUCCAGUCAAAGAGCACGAGCUAGCCGGUCUAGCCAAGGAACCAAGGCAGUGGACGGACGCAAGCAGAGCAGCCACCAAAGUCUAAACUUAACUUAACUUAACUCGCCGCCAGCGGGCACGCCGGAAGGCCAAGAUGCAAGGGGGCUAGCUCGCGGGCAGCCACUAAAGUCUAAACUUAACUAACUUAACUUGCCACGACAGUAGUCAAUUAUGCUCCACCUAAGCUCCGGGAGCACCUAAGAACAACACGGCCGACUAGAACGAAAACCAUAUACACGAGAGACAGGAUCUACGUCUUGGUUCUCCCGCUCGCGAGCAAGACCUGUCAAUGUAUCUACUUCCCCGCCUCCAAACUAAAGACAAGUACCAACAAAACUAAAAAACCAAUGCCAAGUCGCCAAUAAGACUAUACCAGUCUAGAAGAGCCCACUACUACUACGAAACCUGGAGAAUGGUUGGACCUUGGCUUUAACCUAAUGUUCCGUAUCCCCCUCGCUGGGUAGAACGACUAGACGCAAACCUCCUACUAAUGGGGAAGAAAAGUUAAGAAGUAGAUGUGCCAAGUCAAAAUCAGCCAGGACUAAAUCUAAACAACAAACUACGAACAGGUCUUUAACCCCUAAUAUGCCGAAUCGCCCUCGCUGAACAGUAAGAAGUACUGGACACAAACCUAUUAGUAAUGAGAGACAAAUAAAGGAAAAGAGGUGUCAAGUCAAUCACAACCGUGUUAAGACUAAACCUAAAAGCUAAACAACGACCAUGAGGUCUAUAACCUUAAUAUGCCGAAUCACCCACCAGGUUAAAAGGGAGCCGUGCCGCCAAGAAGACACCGAGUUGUAAAAGAAUCAGUAGUUAUUAUAUUAAUCUUUUCAAAGAGACGGAAUCAAACAGUAAGAGUCGAGAACGUCUGUGGUAGAACCUUCCCUAUAUUAACCUUAACCACGACAGAUGAACUGGAAGGGUCGAGUCUGAAGGAAUAUUGAAAAUCGAGGAGGAGCAAACUUCGUACGAAAUCAACUCGGGUCAAAAGGGAUUAUUGCAUAGAACGAGCAACGUCCAAACUGCUUACGUUUCAGGUUGGACUACGACUCAACUUAGACUAAUGUCAAGAAAGAUUUAGAUUAGUUAAGUAGUAAUGAAUCUAUUGGAAAUUCUAGAAGAGUGAGUGAUCCGUUAUAAAAUUUAAGUCUAAAUAGACGCUUCCACGUUCUCACCUCGAAGUUUGAACCGUUUAGGAUGUUUGUUUUUUCUCUGAGGAGGUAAAAAUUGAGAACGGAGAAUAGAAACAUAGUGCAUCGAUGAACAAGUACGGAAACUAAAUUCGAAAAAACGAAGACGGGGGGACACUAACGUCUAAAUAAAAUCGGGUCUCGCACAACCAUGAACCAUCACUCAGCUUUAGACAAUUUUAGCCAACCAAACGUUAGAUAGAGAUACGCCAAGUUAAACAAUAGACAUGAGAAUAGGACAGCUGACGUACUGUAUAAAUCCUUCAAACCCGAAUACCCGUUUAGAGACAUGUCACUCAGUCCAGUCACAAGAUAAUUGCCAAACAAACCAAAUCAACACAAGGAGCUAGACCUUACACCUCUCGGGACACCACAACAUACAACUUCCCCGAGACUCGUCCAGUCCAAACUUACCGAUAGCGGGCACACUAGAAGACCAAGAGUAGUGCACAAAGAAGUAGUAGUCGAUUAUACUCCACCUAAUCUCUUCAGGACCACCUAAGAAUAACAUCGUCGACUAGCGCGAAAACCACACACAAACACGAGGAAACGAACGUCGUCUACGUCCUCACAUCAUCAAGACGUGUCUACUUAGUAUCCCACCUCUCAACCAUAGACAAGCAGUAAAACUAACUAACCUAUACUUCGAAACAUAGAGAAUGGUUGGACCUUGGACACUAGACGCAAAGCUAUUAUAUAUAAGGCAGGGUUAAGUUAAAUAAACCAAACGUGUUAUUUUAAAUCGGGAACCAUCAAGACUAGACAUAAGCAAACACCAAAAGGUCUUUAACCCCAAUUAACCACCUCCAAAUCAAAGACUAUUAGUAAAACUAACUAACCUAUUACUUCGAAACCUUGGACCUUGAACACUAAUCGCAAACCUAUUACUUAAGGCAGGGGUAAGUUAAAUAAACCAGACGUGUCAUGUUAAAUCAGGACCGUCAAGACUAGACAUAAGCAAACACCAAAAAGUCUUUAACCCGAAUCAUUCCAAAUCGUCCUCGUUGGAUAGAAGAACGACUAGAAGUAAACCUACUAAUACUUGGGGAGAUAAAUUAAGGAAGAGUUAAGUUAAAAUCAGAGACUGUUAAGACUAAAUCUAGACAACGACCAACAGGUCUUUUACCCUAAUAUACCGAGUCGCCCUCGCUUGAUAGAAGAACGACUGGACGCGAACCUACUAGUAAUGAGAGAGACAAAUUAAAGAAGAGGUAUCGGGUUAAUCAACGGGCUGUUAAGACUAUAUCUUAAAAACGACCAAGAGGUCUUUAACCUUAAUAUACCGAAUCGCCCACCAGGAUAAAAAAGCCGUACCGCCAAGAAAGACACCGGGUUGUAUAGGCUGGAAAAUAGGAGGGAACUAUUAACUUGAAAGCUUUACAAUCAAAGAAACGGAACCAACCAUUAAGAGUCGAGAACGUCUACGACUGAACCCUCGCUUUAUUAACCUUGGUCACAACAGAUGGACUGAAAGGCCGGCUCUGUCCGAAUGAAUGGGAAAUGGAGUUGUAAACUACGCUGUCCGAAUGAAUGGGAAACGGAGUUGUAAACUACGUACGAAAUCGACUCGGAUCAAAAGGAGAAUAUUGAAUAUCUUUCCAUAGAAGGAGCAACGUCCAACAUCAACUACUUGAGCAGGUUGGACUACGGCUGAACUUAGACAAACGUCAAGAAGAUUUAGAUGAUAAAAGAGUUAAGUAGUCUUGAAUCUGUCGGAAAUUUUAAUAGAAUGGUCUGUUAUAAAACUUAAGUCUAAAUAGAAGGUUCCAAGUUGGUACUUCUAAGUUUGAUAACCUUGUAGGAUAUUACUUUUUCUGACGAGGUCAAAAUUGAGCGGAGAAUAAAAGCAAAGUGCAUCGAUGAACAAGUACAGAAACUAAAUCCAAAAAGGAAGACGGGAGGGAAACCAACGUCUAAUUCGGGUUUGGUACGACUAUCACUCAGCCUUAGACAAUUUUAGCAAACCAAACGCUAGAGCGAGAGACACCUAAAACUAAACAACAAACAUUAGAACUAGGGACACGAGCAGAAGACGCGCAUAGUCAACGUCCUAUAUAAAUCCUUCAGACCCGGAUACCGUCCUAUAUAAACCUAUACGGCCACCGAGAGGUCUUUAACCUUAUUAUACCGAAUCUUCCGUCAGAAUAAAACGGAGCCGUACCGCCAAGGAAGACACCGAUUUUGAAAAAGUUGGAAAAAAUGAGAUAUUAACUUGAGAGAUCUGUAAUCCAAAAGAAACGGAAUCAUUAAUAGUCG
rnacentral:rRNA from 1 species